CCUACGGGGGGCAGCAGUGGGGAAUAUUGGGCAAUGGAGGAAACUCUGACCCAGCAACGCCGCGUGAAGGAUGAAGGUUUUCGGAUUGUAAACUUCUGUCGCGAGGGAUGAAGAAUGACGGUACCUCGUAAGAAAGCACCUGCAAACUACGUGCAAGCAGCCGCGGUAAUACGUAGGGGGCGAGCGUUGUCCGUAAGGACUGGGCGUAACGGGAUUGAAGGCGGCCUAUUAAGUUGUGUGUGAAAGCCCGCGGCUGAACCGAGGCAUUGCACCUAAAACUGGUAAGCUGGAGUGCAGGGGAGGUAAGUGGAAUUCCCGGUGUAGCGGUGGAAUGCGUAGAUAUCGGGAGGAACACCAGAGGCGAAGGCGACUUACUGGACUGUAACUGACGCUGAGGCUCGAAAGCGUGGGGAGCAAACAGGAUUAGAUACCCUGGUAGUC
rnacentral:rRNA from 1 species